rnacentral:SRP_RNA from 2 species
GCUGGGCAUGGUGGCUCAUGCCUGUAAUCCCAGCUACUCGGGAGGCUGAGGCAGGAGAAUCGCUUGAACCCAGGAGGUGGAGGUUGCAGUGAGCCAAGAUCACACCACUGCACUCCAGCCUGGGUGACAGAGCGAGACUCUGUCUCAA